rnacentral:rRNA from 1 species
UACGUAGGGUGCAAGCGUUGCCCGGAUUUAUUGGGCGUAAAGGGCGCGCAGGCGGCUACGCACGUCCGUUGUGAAAUCGCCCGGCUCAACUGGGCGGGGUCAGCGGAUACGGCGUAGCUGGAGCAAGCUAGGGGGCAAUGGAAUUCCCGGUGUAGUGGUGGAAUGCGUAGAUAUCGGGAGGAACACCAGUGGCGAAGGCGGCUUCCUGGCCUGUUCUUGACGCUGAGGCGCGAAAGCUAGGGGAGCAAACGGG